rnacentral:lncRNA from 1 species
UUUGAUUUCUAGUUGAAGGCCAAAGCUUAUCGGUAUACUAAUUACUCAAAAAGAAAAAAAUUCUUAGAGAUUGAUUACAAGUUCCUUCUUAUGAGAUUACAGGUCUAGAUCAUGAAAUUUCUUCGUUGCCAAAAGAGAUUUAGAAACAUAAUACCGGAUAUUAGAAAUAUAGUUAUCUACUUAUCUAUGUGUUGCAUGUUUUUUUUUUUGAAUCAUAUAUCAAUAGUU